UACUUUCACGCCGCAAUUGGUUUUUACCCUUCAUUUCACGAAGGUUAAAAUUAAUAGGGAAUCAGGUGCAAAUCCUGAGCAGACCCGCUACUGUAAGUUCUGUAACAACACUUCGACAUCCACUUGCCACUGUUUUUAGUGACUAAAAACGGGAAGGCCGUCGAAAGUGAGAACAAGCCAGGAGACCUGCCAUGCAGCUAUUUCGUAA
rnacentral:ncRNA from 1 species